GCCGUAUUAAAGUAAAAAGGAGGUGUCUUUCGUUGUAAGAGGUCUUGUCUCUGUAGACAGCUCGACAAUGCGUGGAGAGUGAACGUGCACCCACAUAUGCCGGUACACAUGGAAUAAUCUAAAGACCCAAAAUAUAUGGGUCUAAAAGCCUUGUUUUAUAACAGCAAUUAUAAGCCAGAUUGGCCUUCUAUUUAAUGAAGAUUCUCCCAGCCCGAAGACUUUUGCCUCUCUCUCUCUCUCUAUCUCUCUCUCUCUCUCUUCCUCUUUAUAAAUGCUAAAGGCAAAUCAAAUCAAACACAUUGAAGUGCUGAAGGAGUUCUGGUUUUUUAAGUCAUAUAUAGAAGAAAGAAAUCCCAAAUAGGAGUUUUAGAUUCAAUUACAAUGGAGAUGUUGAGGGUUCAGUUGCUAGUAAUGGCCUCUUUUGCACUUGUAUUAUUGACAAUGGGGAUGCCUUCCAUCCAUGCCCAGAGCCUUGCACCUGCGCCUGGCCCUUCAUGUCGUGGGGUAGCAUUAGCAAUUGACCAAGGAAUUGCGUACGUGCUGAUGGCUGUUGCUCUGCUACUUACGUAUAUGAUUCAUUGAGAACUCUUCAA